GACGACGCUGGCGGCGUGGAUUAGGCAUGCAAGUCGAACGGUAUCAUCCUUUCGGGGGUGAGAGAGUGGCGAACUGGUGAGUAACACGUAGGUUAUCUACCCUCAAGACGGGGACAACCCAGGGAAACUUGGGCUAAUACCGGAUGUGAGCAACUUUUAGUUGUUUGAAAGGUGGCGUAAGCUGUCGCUUGGGGAUGAGCCUGCGUCCUAUUAGUUAGUUGGUGAGGUAACGGCUCACCUAGGCAAUGAUAGGUAGGCGGCCUUAACGGGUGGUCGCCCACACUGGGAUUGAGAUACGGCCCAGACUCCUACGGGAGGCAGCAGUCGAGAAUAGUCUACAAUGGUCGGAAGACUGAUAGUGCGACGCCGCGUGAACGAUGAAUCCCUUCGGGGUGUAAAGUUCUUUUAUAUGUGAGCAGUGCUUCUUACAUUAACAGUAUGGGGAGAGAGAUAUUAGCAUAUGAAUAAGCAACGGCUAACUCCGUG
rnacentral:rRNA from 1 species